CAAGGGCAACCGGCGAACGGGUGCGUAACACGUGAGCAACCUGCCGAUCUGAGGGGGAUAGCCGGCCCAACGGCCGGGUAAUACCGCAUACGUUCUCGAGGGGGAGUCCUCUUGAGAAGAAACCUCUGGGGCAGAUCGAGGGGCUCGCGGCCUAUCAGCUAGUUGGUAGGUAAUGGCUCACCAAGGCAGCGACGGGUAGCUAGUCUGAGAGGAUGGCCAGCCACAUUGGGACUGAGAGACGGCCCAGACUCCUACGGGAGGCAGCAGUGGGGAAUCUUGCGCAAUGGCCGAAAGGCUGACGCAGCGACGCCGCGUGGGGGAUGAAGGGUUUCGGCUCGUAAACCCCUGUUGCCCGGGACGAACAUCCGCUUUCGAGCGGACUGACGGUACCGGGGAGGAAGCACCGGCUAACUCCGUGCCAGCAGCCGCGGUAAUACGGAGGGUGCGAGCGUUGUCCGGAAUCACUGGGCGUAAAGGGCGCGUAGGUGGCGCGGGUAAGCGUCUGGUGAAAGCUCGGGGCUCAACCCCGAGUCGGCCCAUGCGAACUGCCGGGCUUGAGCACUGUAGAGGCAGGUGGAAUGCCGGGUGUAGCGGUGGAAUGCGUAGAGACCCGAAAGAACACCGGUGGCGAAGGCGGCCUGCUGGGCAGUGGCUGACACUGAGGCGCGACAGUCGUGGGGAGCAAACAGGAUUAGAUACCCUGGUAGUCCACGCCGUAAACGAUGGGCAGUAGGUGCUUGGGGGAGCGACCCUCUGAGUGCCGGCGCUAACGCAUUAAGUGCCCCGCCUGGGGAGUACGGCCGCAAGGCUGAAACUCAAAGGAAUUGACGG
rnacentral:rRNA from 1 species